GAUCUUGUUGGACUUCGUUUUUCAUCGCGAACUUUGCUGUGGGCUCAAUAUGGAUCGAAUCUCAAGGUGUCAAAUUUUAACAUGAAUAAUUAUCUAUCGAAGCGUAGUCGCUCGACGGGUGACAAUUGUCCGUAAAGGUUCCUACGGGUGUCUCCCCCCAUCAACGAGGGCCGCGAAGCAGCCAGUGAUGGGCUGCCUUCCUCCACCGAAACC
rnacentral:lncRNA from 1 species